AGGGUUGUAAAGCUCUUUCACCGAUGAAGAUAAUGACGGUAGUCGGAGAAGAAGCCCCGGCUAACUUCGUGCCAGCAGCCGCGGUAAUACGAAGGGGGCUAGCGUUGUUCGGAAUUACUGGGCGUAAAGCGCACGUAGGCGGAUAUUUAAGUCAGGGGUGAAAUCCCGCAGCUCAACUGCGGAACUGCCUUUGAUACUGGGUAUCUUGAGUAUGGAAGAGGUAAGUGGAAUUCCGAGUGUAGAGGUGAAAUUCGUAGAUAUUCGGAGGAACACCAGUGGCGAAGGCGGCUUACUGGUCCAUUACUG
rnacentral:rRNA from 1 species